UACGAAGGGGGCUAGCGUUGCUCGGAAUCACUGGGCGUAAAGGGUGCGUAGGCGGGUCUUUAAGUCAGGGGUGAAAUCCUGGAGCUCAACUCCAGAACUGCCUUUGAUACUGAAGAUCUUGAGUUCGGGAGAGGUGAGUGGAACUGCGAGUGUAGAGGUGAAAUUCGUAGAUAUCGGGAGGAACACCGGUGGCGAAGGCGGCGACCUGGGUAGAUACUGACGCUGAGGCGCGAAAGCGUGGGGAGCAAACAGG
rnacentral:rRNA from 1 species